GAUGAACGCUAGCGGCAGGCCUAACACAUGCAAGUCGAGGGGCAUCAUGGCGUAGCAAUACGCUGAUGGCGACCGGCGCACGGGUGCGUAACGCGUAUGGAACCUACCCACCGCAGGGGGAUAACCCGCCGAAAGGCGGACUAAUACCCCAUGGUUCCCCGACCCUGCCUGGGGUUGGGGGUAAAGCCUACGGGCGGCGGUGGAUGGCCCUGCGUGCCAUUAGCUGGCUGGUGGGGUAACGGCCCACCAGGGCGACGAUGGCUAGGGGGUCUGAGAGGACGAUCCCCCACACUGGUACUGAGACACGGACCAGACUCCUACGGGAGGCAGCAGUGGGGAAUAUUGGGCAAUGGGGGCAACCCUGACCCAGCGACGCCGCGUGAGGGAAGAAGGCCUUCGGGUCGUAACUUCUUUUGUACGUGAAGAAGCAGAUGACGGUAGCGUACGAAUAAGUCCCGGCGUAACUACGUG
rnacentral:rRNA from 1 species